GAACCUGGAAGCACAGUCAAGGCACAGCUUUGAUUAAAAACAUCCAAUUCCAGAUUGCUGCCAAAUCGCUGUGCUAGGCUUGGAACUUGCACUUUCCUACUAAAUGGGACUCCCUGGACAGAAGGGAACAACAACAAGGAGGGGCCAUGAAGAUAUGCCCGAGGUCUCUAAAAUCACAAGCAAGCCAGGGAAUGUGAGGAGGAUAAGAUGCAGGGCAGAAGUUUUCUUGAAGCCACUGAAUGGGCCACAGGCUGGGCAAUGAAGAGCUCAUGCCAUUCCUGACCUUGUUGGGGGAAUUGUACCCAGCCUGGAGAGUGUGGGGACCACUCCCAAGGCUCACCUUUUGGUCACGUAGAUAUUCUGAUUGUUUUGUAAUAUACACAUUUGUUACAGAUGCUAAUAUGGCUACUCUUCUAAUAAAUAAUCAGUUCCUAAGGUAAAAUUAUACCUGCAAGCAAACACAGAGCUAAACUAGUACUUCACCAAAAUCCAGGUAUUUGUACUGCAGGGAAGCUAAAGUGUAUAAGGUAAGCAUUUUGAUAAUUUCCUCCAGCAGAACUGAACAAGGAUGGAAAACAGUAGGACUGUAUUUAAAUGAGCCCAAUACAGCAGAAGCUGAUAGCAUAAGAUAUUGCCUCUUGGGUUUUUGCAAAGCCCCAGGAAUGUAAGAAGGAGUUUAGCACAUAUAGAAUUGCAUUGCUUAAUGGUGUGCCAAAGGAUACCCAAGAUAAUAAGGACAGAAAGCAAGCCAGGGAGAAACCAGAAAAACUUUCUGUACGUUUAUGUAUUUUGACUCUGUAUUGGCCACACAUCUUGACACCCUGCUGUAUCCCAGAUAUUUCUCUCCCAGCAAGAAUUGGCACCUGCAGGUACAGUUGUGGAGGCACCAGUGUUGCUUGCUGAGGGAACUUGGUGUCAGCAGAAGCACCGGUCCCUUCCAGUGUCAAGCCAGAGCAGUUUGACACAAAACCUUCUAAAGUCACCAAAAUGUUCCUUAACUGUUUCAGCUACUUUGGGUGAAUUCUUAAUCUCCCUCCUCUGCCCCCUCACCAAAAACCUCAACACUUUGAACAUUUGGGUGAGGGAGUUCAUGCUGGUUGUUUAAGUACUGACACAGUGAUGCCAAACUGAAUUGUGCAGAGCCUGGAAGGGAAAGAGAUGAUCUCUUGCUGAGGGUUAGCAAACAACAGCAGGAACUGGGAUUUGUUGGACAUUGCAAACUUCCUUUCUGUCUUCUGAGGAGGCACUUCAGUUGCAUUAUCAGAGAGCCCAAAAUACAGUUUUCACAAUAAGCACAUGUUUCUCUUUAUCCUAUUUGAAGCAUAGACAGACAAGUCCAUAAAAACUCAAGUCUUCACAACAUUAUUAUUAUUAUCCCAGGGAAAGCAGCUUCAAAGGAUUUCUAUUGCAGAGGUGAACUAAAAUGAGUCAUUCUGUUAUUUUAUCUCAAGGUGUGUUUUAUUAAAGAGAGGUGCUAUCACAUAUAUAUAUAUAAAUAUAAAAUUACAUCCUCUUUUGUAUUGGCAAUUGUGCACCCAAAAAGCCUGAUCACUGCCUCCACUUUCAGAGGCUGUGUGUCAUCCUGCUGGAUUGUGGCCCCAGAGCAGGGAGCAGCAUGCAUCAGGCUAUUACUGGGCCAGUGCCUGGCUCUGGGUAUGAGAGGGGAAAUGGGUGAAAUGACAGCAAAUACACCCCUGAGCAGAGAGCUCUAAUGCUAAUGCCCUGGUUGCUGAUAAUGCUCCCAACCAAUCCAGCUGACAUAGUUUUCUGGAACCAGGGUAACUUUCCACCUGCACAGCUAUCUGGCUGUUUGCACUCUUCAUAGCUUAGUUUUGUCUACUCUGCUGUUAAGAUUUACCUCUAACUUUUCAGGACCAACACCAAAACUACUUUGUAAGGACUGUGCAGGUCUAAGAAACAAAGAGAAAGCAAUUCAAAAGACUGCCAGUCACACAAUAUAAAGUCACCCUGAUUCUGAUGGAAAGGGGAUCCUUUUCUCUCCCCUAACAGGAUGAACUUCACCCCUUUAUUAAUGCCCACCUAACUUCAGUAUCAGCACAAUUGUGUAAGGGACAGCUCAUGUAGGAAGUCCUAAAGGAGUGCACAUCACAAAUAUUUCUCAACAGAAAAGGUGGACAGGUUAUCAGGGCUGAGCUCCAGCUAAACCAGUCUGUCUA